AGAGUUUGAUCCUGGCUCAGGACGAACGCUGGCGGCGUGCCUAACACAUGCAAGUCGAGCGGAGACAGUGAGUAGCUUGCUAUGAGCUGUUUUAGCGGCGGACGGGUGAGUAACGCGUGAGCAACCUUUCCCAGACAGGGGAAUAACACACCGAAAGGUGUACUAAUACCGCAUAAGACCACGGAAUCACAUGGUUCUGAGGUAAAAGAUUUAUCGGUUUGGGGUGGGCUCGCGUCCGAUUAGGUAGUUGGUGAACGGG
rnacentral:rRNA from 1 species